GAUGAACGCUGGCGGCGUGCCUAAUACAUGCAAGUCGAGCGAACAGACGAGGAGCUUGCUCCUCUGACGUUAGCGGCGGACGGGUGAGUAACACGUGGAUAACCUACCUAUAAGACUGGGAUAACUUCGGGAAACCGGAGCUAAUACCGUAUAACAUGUUGAACCGCAUGGUUCAACAGUGAAAGACGGUCUUGCUGUCACUUAUAGAUGGAUCCGCGCCGCAUUAGCUAGUUGGUAAGGUAACGGCUUACCAAGGCAACGAUGCGUAGCCGACCUGAGAGGGUGAUCGGCCACACUGGAACUGAGACACGGUCCAGACUCCUACGGGAGGCAGCAGUAGGGAAUAUUCCGCAAUGGGCGAAAGCCUGACGGAGCAACGCCGCGUGAGUGAAGAAGGUCUUCGGAUCGUAAAACUCUGUUAUUAGGGAAGAACAAAUGUGUAAGUAACUAUGCACGUCUUGACGGUACCUAAUCAGAAAGCCACGGCUAACUACGUG
rnacentral:rRNA from 1 species